AUAAAAAGUCUAGCCUGCCCACUGAUAAAUAUUUAAAGGGCCGCGGUAUUUUGACUGUGCAAAGGUAGCAUAAUCGUUAGUUUUUUAAUUGGAAUCUUGUAUGAAUGGUUUGACAAAAAAAAAUCUGUCUCUAUAAUUAUUUAUUGAAUUUAACCUUUAAGUGAAAAGGCUUAAAUAAGUUAAAAAGACGAUAAGACCCUAUAAAACUUAAUAUUAUAUUCUUUAUUUAAUUAAAUUUUAAACUAUAUAAAAAUUUAAUAAUUAAUAUUUAUUUUAUUGGGGCGAUAAUGGUAAAAUUUCUAUUAACUGUUAUUUUUUUCUAGACAAAGAUAAGUGAAUGAAACAAGUAUUUAAAUGAUCCUGUAUUAUAGAUUAAAAGUUUAAGUUACUUUAGGGAUAACAGCGUUAUUUUUUUUGAGAGUUCUUAUCGAGAAAAAAGUUUGCGACCUCGAUGUUGAAUUAAAAUAUCUAUAUAAUUGUAGCAGUUAUAUGAGAAGGUCUGUUCGACCUUUAAAAUUUUACAUGAUUUGAGUUCAGACCGGCGUAAGCCAGGUCGGUUUCUAUCUUUUAAUAUUAAAAAAUUAUUUUAGUACGAAAGGAUUAAAUAAUUAAAAUUAUUUUAAAUAGUUGGAUGAAG
rnacentral:rRNA from 1 species